GAUAUCCUACGGGGCGCAGCAGUAGGGAAUUUUCGUCAAUGGGCGCAAGCCUGAACGAGCCAUGCCGCGUGAACGAGGAAGGUCUUCGGAUCGUAAAGUUCUGUUGAAGGGGAAAAAGAGCGGAGAGAGGAAAUGGUCUCCGAUUGAUAUUACCCUUCGAGGAAGUCACGGCUAACUACGUGCCAGCAGCCGCGGUAAUACGUAGGUGGCGAGCGUUAUCCGGCAUCAUUGGGCGUCAAGGGUGCGUUGGCGGCCUGUUAAGUCUGGAGUGAAAGGUACCGGCUCCACCGGUACAUGCUCUGGAA
rnacentral:rRNA from 1 species